UGAUUCCGGGAGUAGUGGCGAGCGAAACCGGAUGAGGCCAAACCGUAUGCGUGUGAUACCCGGCAGGGGUUGCGCAUGCGGGGUUGUGGGAUCUCUCUUCUGUCGUCUGCCGGCGACAGGACGAGUCAGAAACCGUAUGGAUAGGCGAAGGACAUGCGAAAGGUCCGGCGUAGAGGGUAAGACCCCCGUAGCCGAAAUCUGUACGGCUCGUUGGAGAG
rnacentral:rRNA from 1 species